AGGCUUAUGAAGACACCAAAGGAGACUGGCUGGCUGGUUUCAGUUCAGUCCCCUUCAAGGAGUCAGGG
rnacentral:miRNA from 1 species